rnacentral:rRNA from 1 species
AUACGGAGGGUGCAAGCGUUGUUCGGAAUCACUGGGCGUAAAGGGCGCGCAGGCGGUUUGGUAAGUCAGAUGGGAAAGCCCAUGGCUCAACCAUGGAAGUGCAUUUGAAACUGUCAGACUUGAGUACUAGAGGGGAAAGUGGAAUUCCCGGUGUAGAGGUGAAAUUCGUAGAUAUCGGGAGGAAUACCGGUGGCGAAGGCGACUUUCUGGCUAGAUACUGACGCUGAGGCGCGAAAGCGUGGGGAGCAAACAGGAUUAGAAACCCGAGUAGUCC